rnacentral:rRNA from 1 species
CAGCCGCCGCGGUAAUACAGAGGGUGCGAGCGUUAAUCGGAUUUACUGGGCGUAAAGCGUGCGUAGGCGGCUAAUUGAGUCGGAUGUGAAAUCCCCGAGCUUAACUUGGGAAUUGCAUUCGAUACUGGUUAGCUAGAGUGUGGGAGAGGAUGGUAGAAUUCCAGGUGUAGCGGUGAAAUGCGUAGAGAUCUGGAGGAAUACCGAUGGCGAAGGCAGCCAUCUGGCCUAACACUGACGCUGAGGUACGAAAGCAUGGGGAGCAAACAGGAUUAGAUACCCGAGUAGUCCCUGUCUCUUAUAA